rnacentral:rRNA from 1 species
GACGAACGCUGGCGGCGUGCUUGAUACAUGCAAGUCAAGGAGAACAUUAUCUUCGGAUAAUAAGUAAACUGGCGAACGGGUGAGUAACGCGUAAACAACUUGCCUCAGAGAUUGGGACAACAUUGGGAAACCAGUGCUAAUACCAAAUAAUGCAGCGGGCUCUUCGGAGCACAGUUGUUAAAGUAGGCUUCGGCUUACACUUUGAGAUAGGUUUGCGUCCGAUUAGUUAGUUGGUAGGGUAAAAGCCUACCAAGACCAAGAUCGGUAGCUGGUCUGAGAGGAUGAUCAGCCACACUGGAAUUGAGAUACGGUCCAGACUCCUACGGGAGGCAGCAGUAAGGAAUUUUGCACAAUGGGCGAAAGCCUGAUGCAGCAACGCCGCGUGAACGAUGAAGUUUUUAGGAAUGUAAAGUUCUGUCGUAUGGGAAGAGAUCUUUCGAAUGUUAAUACCAUUCGUUAAUGACGGUACCAUACAAGAAAGCACCGGCUAACUUCGUGCCAGCCGCCGCCGUAACAC